CCUUUUUGGAGCCAGCCGCCUAAGGUGGGACAGAUGAUUGGGGUGAAGUCGUAACAAGGUAGCCGUAUCGGAAGGUGCGGCUGGAUCACCUCCUUUCUAUGGAGA
rnacentral:rRNA from 1 species